rnacentral:tRNA from 2 species
GGUUGAAUAGUGUAGUUGGUUAUCACAUCGGAUUUUGACCAGAAUUCUCUGAAUUCGUCGAAAGCUUUCCGGGGACCCGGGUUCGAAUCCCAGUUCGACCU